ACCGCCCUAUGCGCAAUUCAUUUUCAUACAUGAACUCACCUUGAAUCGAAAGUGAACAUCAUUAUGUAUGGAAUAAUUCAGUUAUUCUGUUGUUGACCAUAACAACUUUCUAAUAGUUCUCUCUUUUCAAUGGGCUCGCCAUUUCUUCCGAGGGGAUUAUUAUUUAUGAUGAUUUUCUGAGAGGAUGCUAAUGGAAGCGACGAGAACCUUCUAGAAAUGGUUACCGGGUCACAAAAGCGAGGAUCGAUAAUCCUGGGUUACCAGAAAAUUCUGGUCUCUGCGUCAGCGCUGCAUCUGCGCUCUGUACCAUCACAUUUUUUUUAUCAUUUUUUUCUGCAAAGAUAUGAGGUGUAAAAAUAGAAUUUGUGGUCGUCGUUGAUUAUGUCAUGCACCAGGUGCAGCAAUCGCUGCAAUAUGGACCUGUGAGGUUCUCAAUUGAGACGCAGUAGAUGGUAUUGAUUUUCAUUGCACCCAGCGGUGGAACACUCUGGAAAAUGGAGAAGCCAAUGGUUGUCAGAUUUUAUCGAAUUGGCAAAAUAUGAAAUUACUGGUUUCACUCUCGUAGUUUUGUGACUGAAGUCACAAGUUAUUGGAUACCUUCACCAAAAAAUAGGUUUCUCAAUGUGUCUCAUUAAAUAAAUCAGAUAAAUUCGACUACGCAGUAGAAUAAAAUUUCUAUUGAUCGGGAGAUGGGUCAAAGUCGAGGUCAGUUGUACUCUUUAAUUUUUGGCUCAAUUUUCAGUAGUGAACCCCGAAAUGUUGCUGUUUGAAAUAUCAAAUAUUUCAAUAUUCAUUAACAUUGUUUCUCUGUUCAAGUAAUUUAAACAAUUAAUCACAUAUUUUUUUUAUAUUAUUCCUACAUUAAUAUUUUUGGUUGCAUACUGAAUGUAGGUCAACAGAAGUCAAUGCCUCUGUCAGUAAUAAACACCAACUCCCAAAAAUUCAAUUCUAUUUUUUUCGGUGGAAUUGCGUCGUAACAAUUUCUGCCAACGGAUCGCCAAGAAAAGCAAACAGCGCCAUUACUCUCCACUAAUUUGCAAGACAAUUAAAAGGUUGGGCAGAUGGUUAGAAAUACGCAGUAGACAAAAAAACCGUUGGUUCCCCUUCACCAUAAUCCGAUAUCAAACCGAAAAUUCAACUUUCUAAUCAUUCCCAGAAAUAGCGAAUUAGUUAUGCCUCGAUUUUUUAACAAACAAACUUCAACAAAUAAUGGCAGUUCUUGAGUAACCAUGAAUAGGUCAAGAUUUCAAGUUUUUAAAAAAUAAAAUUCAAUAACAAAGUGGUAACCUGGGAUAAGAGCAUUUUUUCAAGAUCAUUUUUUACCCAAUAUCUCCGGAUUGAAGAAACAUAGCGAAUUUUUCGAAUAAACAUUUUUUCCAGAAAAAUAUGAGAUCUACAAAAAAGGUAUCUUCGAAAAUAUCAGUCCUCCUCCAUCUCCGAGAAAUCCGGUAAAAACAAUUUUCGAAAAAAAAAUGCAAUUUAAAUCCACAACUUGGGAACAGAAUUCAACGGUGUUGAAUGGAAUCACGAUAAAUUCGGUAACUGCGUAGAAAUUUAGGGAGAGAUUGGCCGUUCGGUGUCGGUUAUACCCGUAGUAUACGAAUACAAUGAAUACAAGUGUUGAAAGAGAAGGUAAUUGUGUUGGGUAUGGUGUACGUGACGGUUGAAACCGCCGGGUUCUGGGUGAAAUGGUGGACGUGCUAGAAUCUUCCUCAACACCGGUUCAAUCAAUACUUUACCCGGUCACACAUUUUUCGUAAAAACCCAGUGAAUUCUCCGACAAUUGUGCGAUAUUUUCGUAUGAUAAAUCAUAAAAAAAUGGUGGGCUUUUUUUAAACCGUCAUUUGUGAUAAGAUUUAAUGUUUUUAAUGGUUUAUGGAGAAUGUGCGCAGUUUGUUUUGAGGGACCUGGGAUGGAACAUUCUGGAAGGUAGUGCGACUGGGCCGGGGGCUAUAUAAGGCGGCCGGCACUGCCGGCAUCUCGUAUUCGUAAACAAACCACUGCAGAGUUCAGAUCAUUUUUUCAAACACCUCAAAACGUUAUUCAUUCAACGUGUAUAUUGUACAUUGACAGUAUUUCAUUAAUACGGUGAUACAAUGUAGAAACGGCGACGCAGUGCGGAGCGCGAGCAUUUGCCAGUGCCCUAGUGGCUUGGUGCUUGAACAAUCCGUACUUCAAUCAACACCUGUACCAGCUGUGGCGUUAGAUUUUCGUUUUUAAUCCGAUGAUUAUUCAAUAUCAACACUGAGCUGGAUUAAUUUCUAGAGCUUAAAAUUUCAAUCGAGAUGUAGCAUCACUCCUUAAGAAACCGAUCUCAUAAUCAUCAGAAGAGAAAAA